rnacentral:rRNA from 1 species
GACGAACCGUGCGAACGUUGUUCGGAAUCACUGGGCUUAAAGGGCGCGUAGGCGGACCGGCGAGUCAGGGGUGAAAGCCCGCGGCCUAACCGCGGAAGUGCCCCUGAUACCGCCGGCCUUGAGGGGGAUAGGGGCGCGCGGAACUUCGGGUGGAGCGGUGAAAUGCGUAGAUAUCCGAAGGAACACCGGUGGCGAAGGCGGCGCGCUGGGUCCCUACUGACGCUGAGGCGCGAAAGCCAGGGGAGCGAACGGG